rnacentral:lncRNA from 1 species
CAUAAAAUGCGUUUUGUCAUUGUAAUGGUGCAGGUGAUUUUCAGGAUCCGUUUAUAAAUCAGAAAGGAGAGUAUAAUUCUAUUAAAUAGUUUUUUUCCUACUGAAUAAUUUUUAGUGAGAAGGUAGAAACCUAUCCCAAAUGGAUAAUUAUUUUAGCAUUUGUCAGCAAAAUGUCCCCAGCAUCAUGCAGUUGUUUUAUAGUCUUUGCAUAAUAUGACAAUCAUCAAUGAACCUGGACAAUGUCACUGGCAAAUGCUGUAUUAUUUAGUAUCACUUUAAAGUGUGUUAUAGUUUAUGCAAAUAGGCUACAUAGUGUUAUUCAGACCUUAAUGCAGUACACACAGACAGGUUCUGCUAAGUUUUUCCUCCUCUGUUGACUAAACCAAAAUGGCUCCCAGUUUUUCUGUGUUUUAAUUUUUUUUCUGUUCUUUAAUCCUUUAUGUACAUAUAUGUAAGCAAGUACAGAAGUUACAAUAAAUGUAUACUGGGCUUUUUGGUGGCUUUUGUCUAACCUUCUCUAAUUUGUCCCUUCAUUAUCAGCUGGUUGAGCUUAAAGAUGCUGGGGUGCUGCCCCCCUCCUCUGACUUGUUGAGCUCUACCCACUUAACACUAUGGGCUGUCAUGUCUGUUCAAAACCGGUGCUUCUCCAGCCUUCAAUAAAGGGGAGAAUGGAAACUGCAGAUAUAAUCAUGUCUGAAACAAACCUAUCAGUAAUGCAAAUACAUUUGUUUUGUUUUUUGCACCAAAACUGCCAUCCCACCUGUCCCUUUGGACCAAACACCACUGUUAUUCAUCUCCUUAGCCUUGUGACCCUGCACAUCCCUAAUAAACAUAGAUAAACAUACACUGUGUUCUCCUAAAUUACCUCUGUACUUACUUUACUCUCAAAGCUGUAAUCUAAGACCCUUAUCUUGGCCAUCCCCUUCUUGCUAUGUUUGACUAGCUAGUACUAAAUAUCUGUAACCUAAAAGGAUAUCUAUAACCUAAGUGCAAGGAGCUAUGACUGCUUUAUAGUUGUAGAAAAAGAAAGAUACUAAUAGAAAAGCGCUUAAAAGGGGAUAAGGAAAGAAAAAAAAAUGUGGAGAAAUCUUUCGCAACCACCUUCACAUUUUAUAUAAAUUAAAAAAUUCAAACUAUAUAUAUUAGGCAGCUUCACACCUGUGCUUUACCCCAAAAAACAGAUACCAAAAUAUACUUAUAUACUGGUGGAGCGCCUUCAGAAAAAGACCUUGGUAGUUUUGCGAUCACUCUAUUGCACUGGCUCAGAGAUCACUCCAUUGCACUGGAUGCAUACAUGUUUAGCUCCAUGCAUACAUGUUUAGCUCCAUGCAUACAUGUUUAGCUCUAUGCAUACAUGUUUAGCUCCAUACGUACAUGUUUAGCUCUAUGCAUACAUGUUUAGCUCCAUGCAUACAUGUUUAGCUCCAUACGUACAUGUUUAGCUCCAUGCAUACAUGUUUAGCUCCAUGCAUACAUGUUUAGCUCUAUGCAUAUAUGUUUAGCUCCAUACAUACAUGUUUAGCUCUAUGCAUACAUGUUUAGCUCCAUACAUACAUGUUUAGCUCUAUGCAUAGAUGUUUAGCUCUAUGCAUAUAUGUUUAGCUCCAUACAUAUUGCAGGUUUCAUCUAAAUAGACAUUCUGGAACAAGGUUCUAACAAUGGAACAGCUGAGAUAGUUCAUUGGUUUUCAUGGUGCAUACUCCACGUUUAGAUCUUUGAUUCUUUUAAAAUAACCUGCAUAGUUUUGGUUUUUUAAAUGUAUUUUUAAUGAAAAUAUGCAUUCCUGCAAAUUUCAGAAGGUUUUUAUUCUCACAGUCUCUGGGUAUGAUGGUCUAUUUACGGUCCAUAGCUCUGGUCUACUGGUGGGGAGACAUUCACCCCUUGCCCACUCUUUUCUCUCCAGACUCGCUAUUUAUUACUCCGUUCAUUUCUGGCAAGUCGUGUUAUGACCUCACCUUUUUUGCAGGUUUAGAACACCCAUAUAGGAAAAAAAAUGCAAAAAUAUCUGAAAUACUAAUAGUUCCAGGCAUGUAAAUAUGUAAUACGGGUGUUAUAUAAAGGCAUUAUGAUAUGUUUUUAUUUACUUCUAGGUUCCAUUGUGGGAUAGAGAGAAUGGUACAUUGCGGGAUCC